UCUGCUUGCUUAUUCGGGGUGGUAGAUGCCAUGAUGAAGAUAACAGGAAUGAAGAAGACAGAGUUGAACCUUACAAACAAGGCAAUAGACAAAGAGAAGCUCGAAAAAUACGAAAAGGGAAUGUUUGAUUUGCAAGGAGCUGCAGUGCUAAUGGCUCCUCUGUUUGUCCUAGGUCUAUGGAAUAUGAUUUGCUUUGUCGGUGGGAUGAAGAAGGUGGUGAGGAACAGGAAUUUUGAGG
rnacentral:misc_RNA from 1 species